rnacentral:rRNA from 1 species
GGGGAAUAUUGGACAAUGGGCGCAAGCCUGAUCCAGCCAUGCCGCGUGAGUGAUGAAGGCCUUAGGGUUGUAAAGCUCUUUCGUCAGGGAAGAUAAUGACGGUACCUGAAGAAGAAGCCCCGGCUAACUUCGUGCCAGCAGCCGCGGUAAUACGAAGGGGGCUAGCGUUGCUCGGAAUCACUGGGCGUAAAGCGCACGUAGGCGGCUUUCUAAGUCAGGGGUGAAAUCCUGGAGCUCAACUCCAGAACUGCCUUUGAUACUGGAAAGCUUGAGUUCGGGAGAGGUGAGUGGAACUGCGAGUGUAGAGGUGAAAUUCGUAGAUAUUCGCAAGAACACCAGUGGCGAAGGCGGCUCACUGGCCCGAUACUGACGCUGAGGUGCGAAAGCGUGGGGAGCAAAC